UUUUGUAAGCGAAAAUGGCCACAAAAAUGCUUAGGAAAUCAGUCUUUGGAGAACGUAGGUACAUGAUGUAUGGCAGAAUCGAAAUAAUACAAACAGUGCUUCUCCAAUCGCCCUUCUGAAUGAUCUGACUUCAGGGCAAUGUUGGAUGUCUUCUCUGUUGCUGAGAUGGUUUUCUGCAAACUACGGUACAUCCAAGGGAGGUGAAAUGUGGGACGACCAACGACCACAUAUGUUGAUACAUGUACACUGUGCCAAGACACCCAGCUACAAUCAAGGGAGAUUCAUAGUUGCAUGACAGAUCAACAAUCUUGGAAAGCUAUCACUAAUGCCCGAUGGAAUCGCCAUGCAAGUACAAUUUGACAGAACUACAAGAUGAACAUAUACUUACUGCAUCUGUCAGCCAUCUUUUCCCUGAUAGUGACAGAAUAUCGUCUGUAAAAAGGG